ACCACUGAGCUAAAUCCCCAACCCCUUAAUAUUUUAUUUAUUUAGUAUAUAUGAGUACAUUGUAGCUGUCUUCAGAUACACCAGAAUCUGUUAUAGAUGGUUGUGAGCCAUCAUGUGGUUGCUGGGAAUUGAACUCAGGACCUCUGGAAGAGCAGUCAGUGCUCUUAACCGCUGAACCAUCUCUCCAGCCCUGCUGAGUUUUAAAAACAAGUUUCAAACUUGUUUUUCCCUGCUUUUUACCUUUUGAAACUGUAGGAAUGGUUUUUCUUUUAAGCUGAACUUAGGUUUGUAAUUGACUAUCCUAGUGUGAAAAUAUUUAUAGCCUGGUACAUGAUGUGUUGACUCAUCUAGGCUUCUCUGUUUUAAGUGGCUUGACAGCUGAACGUCACAGGUGUUCUCUGUUGUCAGCUAGGGUUAGGUAUAGCUUUGUGUUGGGGUGGUAAUUCGUAAGAAUUUGUAUUUUUGGAAAAUGUCUUUCAUGAGACUAUUUUAACUUUGAGUAAUCACUAUGGUUCUUUUUCUAAAGUUUGUAUUUUAUAGUAUGGAUGUUCUGUCUGCACAUAUGUCUGUGUGCCACUUUGCAUGCUUGCAAAAGCCCGAGGAGAGCAUUAGAUCCACUGGAACUGAAGUUGCAGACAGUUGUGAGUAGAGCAGUUGGUGCUGUUAGCCACAAACCAUCCCUCCAGCUUCUACUGUGUUUUUGUUUUUUGUUUUUUUUUUUUUUUUCUUUUCUAUUUUUUGGAGCUGGGGACCGAACCCAAGGCCUUGCGAUUGCUAGGCAAGCGCUCUACCACUGAGCUAAAUCCCCAACCCCUCUACUGUGUUUUUAAAUUGGUUCUUCUUUGUAUUUGGAGACAGGGUCUGUAGACCAGGCUGCCUUGAACUUUUGCCACCCCUGCCCUUGCCUCCUGAGGGCUGGGGUUGCAGGAGUGCACUACCACACUGGGCUUGGUUUGCUGUGUUUAACCGAGGAGAAUCCUAUGCAUGUGGAUUCACUUUCCUGAUUCUUAUAGUUUUACCUAUAUUUCCUAAAUUAAAUACUUUCAUGCUUGUCUCUAAAACGAAGCCUUUUUAUUAAUGUAUAUUUAAUCUGUGAAGAGCCCUCUGAAGUAAUCAUUCUUGAAAUGGAAAGGGCUGAAGAGAAAUGUGAACAUCCCUGCCUGCACUUUCUUCUCCGGACCUUUAAGGGCAGGCAGAUCCUGUCAGCCUUACUCUGCCACUUCUCCGACUCAGUAUGCAUACCCUUCAGCACAGAUGUGUCUGCAGUUUGACAGUUGGGAAGGAUGUUCCUGGCUUGGCCUGGUGCUCUCUGAUUUACUUCUGCGUUUAGCAGUCGUUAAUGUGCGUUUACACCUUGGCACGGAGUGGAGCAGUUGGAUAGAGGGUGACCAUUCUGAAAUAACUGAACAGAUCAACAUAAUCUCGACCUCGUAGGUAGCGUGUGAAACUGAACAAAUGGGACUCUUGCAGGUGGUUUGGCCAUUAGUGGUGACCAUGAGUUGGGUGUAUUAAGCAAGUAAACAGGAUGUUCUGUGUGCUGUGUAACCUUGAGACUUCUACUUCCAUUUUCAGAAAUGGAGUCUACAUUAGAAAAGCUGUUUUCUUUUUCUUAGUUUUCAAAAUAAAGUGGGGCUUGUACAUCUGCAGUCAGUGCCGCAUCCUGGAGAGAAUGGCUCCCUCCAUCCUGGAUUUGUUGAUAGUCUAAGUGGUUUUAUUUGUUUGUUUGGUUGGUUUGAUUGGUUGGUUUGGUAGCUUGUAUAUGUUUGUGUUUUUUCUUUUUUUUUAAAUUUCAGUUAGAAGUUGGGCAUAGAAAAAUGUUUUGUUUUUAAAGUGAGAGGCUGUGGCUGGCAAGGUGGUCCAGUGGGUGCAGGCUUGCUGCUGGGUCUGGUUACCUGAAUUUGACCCUCAUGACCCACAUGAUAGAGGGAGAAGACUUACUCUACACACUGCCCUCUGGCCAUUGGUGUGUGCUCCUACAUGUGGGCUCUUUCAUCAGAGUAAACAUAAUGAAAAAUAUAUUUUAAGAGAAAAGAGAACACAAAAUUACCACUUGUACAUAUUCUAUUUCAAAUAACUGAAAAAUUUAGGACAAAAAUUGGUCAAACUUCGGAAGCCAAGUGUGUUGGUUUCUGUGGUAGAGAAAGCUAAUAUCAAGAUGAUUC